rnacentral:rRNA from 1 species
GACGAACGCUGGCGGCGUGCCUAAUACAUGCAAGUAGAACGCUGAAGGAGGAGCUUGCUUCUCCGGAUGAGUUGCGAACGGGUGAGUAACGCGUAGGUAACCUGCCUGGUAGCGGGGGAUAACUAUUGGAAACGAUAGCUAAUACCGCAUAAUAGUAGAUGUUGCAUGACAUUUGCUUAAAAGGUGCAAUUGCACCACUACCAGAUGGACCUGCGUUGUAUUAGCUAGUUGGUGGGGUAACGGCUCACCAAGGCGACGAUACAUAGCCGACCUGAGAGGGUGAUCGGCCACACUGGGACUGAGACACGGCCCAGACUCCUACGGGAGGCAGCAGUAGGGAAUCUUCGGCAAUGGACGGAAGUCUGACCGAGCAACGCCGCGUGAGUGAAAGAAAGGGUUUUUCGGAUUCGUAAAAGCUUCUGUUGUAAAGAGAAA